rnacentral:lncRNA from 1 species
GAGUUUUCGAAUUCGAAUAACUCGAAUAAUUCGAAUAAUUCGAAUAUGAAACUAUAAUAUUUUACAGUUUUACCCUAAACUCCCAAACUUUUUUACUUUUCCCUCAAAACUUUUACUCCUUCCCACUUUUCCCCCAAAACUUUUACUCCCCUCCCCUCCCAACCCCCAAUCUACCCAAAAUCCAUUUCCCACUAAAAUUUUACUCUUCCAUUCAUUUUUUUUCAAAAUUUUACUCUCAAAAACCCUCAAAACUUUUUAUUUUCCCCCAAAAUUUUUACUCCCUCCCACUUUUCCCCUAAAACUUUUAUUCUCUUCCCAUCCCACCUCCCAUCUACCCCAAACCCUCCCCCUCCAAUUUUUU